UACGUAGGUGGCAAGCGUUGUCCGGAUUUAUUGGGCGUAAAGGGAGCGCAGGUGGUUUCUUAAGUCUGAUGUGAAAGCCCACGGCUUAACCGUGGAGGGUCAUUGGAAACUGGGAAACUUGAGUACAGAAGAGGAAUGUGGAACUCCAUGUGUAGCGGUGGAAUGCGUAGAUAUAUGGAAGAACACCAGUGGCGAAGGCGACAUUCUGGUCUGUUACUGACACUGAGGCUCGAAAGCGUGGGGAGCAAACAGGAUUAGAAACCCCAGUAGUCC
rnacentral:rRNA from 1 species